GCGCCUCAAAUUUAGGAAUACAAAAGUUGUGCGCAAAUAAGAAAAAAAAAUAUGUGUAAUGAGUAGUGAUAUCGGACAUUUUUAUUUUUUUUAACAAGUGGAUGAGCUUAAAUAAAAUUGAACUUGAUGCGACUGUCAUACAAGUGAGAGGUUAAGCGCUAUAAAACCAGGUUCAAUCCACCAAUUUCUACAUUUGAGAAUGCCAGGAAUAUGAUAGUUGUUGUCCAUUCGUUUGAUUUAUUUUACCAUUUGAUUAGGGACUUUCAGUUUUUGAAUUUUCCUCGGAGUUCAGUAUUUUUGUUAUUCACUUUUAACAAUUUGUGGUGAUAUGGCAAGUAGAGGACCAUAGUAUAAAUCUGUAAAACUAUCGUGCUUGUAUAUGUAUUCGAAUUAUUAAAUUUCCAAAGAACUUAUUGUGUUAAAAAAGGAAUUUUUUUUUCUUCGAGGCGCCGCACCACGAAAGGAUUUCGGGAAAUGCUAAUUUAACUUCGUACCACGAAAAUUAAACCACAUAUAUA
rnacentral:lncRNA from 1 species